rnacentral:rRNA from 1 species
GAUGAACGCUGGCGGCGUGCCUAAUACAUGCAAGUCGAGCGAACGGACGAGAAGCUUGCUUUUCUGAUGUUAGCGGCGGACGGGUGAGAAACACGUGGAUAACCUACCUAUAAGACUGGGAUAACUUCGGGAAACCGGAGCUAAUACCGGAGAAUAUUUUGAACCGCAUGGUUCAAAAGUGAAAGACGGUCUUGCUGUCACUUAUAGAUGGAUCCGCGCUGCAUUAGCUAGUUGGUAAGGUAACGGCUUACCAAGGCAACGAUGCAUAGCCGACCUGAGAGGGUGAUCGGCCACACUGGAACUGAGACACGGUCCAGACUCCUACGGGAGGCAGCAGUAGGGAAUCUUCCGCAAUGGGCGAAAGCCUGACGGAGCAACGCCGCGUGAGUGAUGAAGGUCUUCGGAUCGUAAAACUCUGUUAUUAGGGAAGAACAUAUGUGUAAGUAACUGUGCACAUCUUGACGGUACCUAAUCAGAAAGCCACGGCUAACUACGUG